GACGUAGGGCGCGAGCGUUUGUCCGGAAUUAUUGGGCGUAAAGAGCUCGUAGGCGGUUUGUCGCGUCUGCUGUGAAAACUCGGGGCUUAACCCCGGGCCUGCAGUGGGUACGGGCAGACUAGAGUGCGGUAGGGGGAGACUGGAAUUCCUGGUGUAGCGGUGGAAUGCGCAGAGUAUCAGGAGGAACACCGGUGGCGAAGGCGGGUCUCUGGGCAGUAACUGACGCUGGAGGAGCGAAAGCAUGGGGAGCGAACAGG
rnacentral:rRNA from 1 species